rnacentral:rRNA from 1 species
CUACGUGCCAGCAGCCGCGGUAAUACGUAGGGCGCGAGCGUUGUCCGGAAUUAUUGGGCGUAAAGAGCUUGUAGGCGGUUUGUCGCGUCUGCUGUGAAAGGCCGGGGCUUAACUCCGUGUAUUGCAGUGGGUACGGGCAGACUAGAGUGCAGUAGGGGAGACUGGAAUUCCUGGUGUAGCGGUGGAAUGCGCAGAUAUCAGGAGGAACACCGAUGGCGAAGGCAGGUCUCUGGGCUGUAACUGACGCUGAGAAGCGAAAGCAUGGGGAGCGAACAGGAUUAGAUACCCUGGUAGUCCACGCUGUAAACGAUGUCGAUUUGGGGGUUGAACUUUAGGUUUGGCGCCCGUAGCUAACGUGAUAAAUCGACCGCCUGGGGAGUACGGCCGCAAGGUUAAAACUCAAAUGAAUUGACGGGGGCCCGCACAAGCGGUGGAGCAUGUGGUUUAAUUCGAUGCAACGCGAAGAACCUUACCUACUCUUGACAUCCAGAGAACAUUC